UAUAGAGAACUUGAUUAAAUCUAACCAAAUAUUAAAUUAGAUUAAAUUAAAAUUUUUCUAGAACUAAUACAAUAGUUGUAAAUGGUCAAGUCCAUGUCUUUGAUUAGAUCAAAUGAAUCUGGAUUGUGGCUCAGUGGUUGAAUCUGAAUCAUUAGACUGGUCAAAUCGAAACUAGAUAAUCAAUUAGUAUCUAAAGUAAGUUUGAUAUUUUGAUUGAUGCUUUUAAUUGGGAGCAGCUUACCUAGCUAUUUCAAUGAUGUCUAAGGAAAGCUUAGUAGAUCCUCCCAC
rnacentral:lncRNA from 1 species